UUAUCAGGUCAAACCUGUUUCCUCAUGGA
rnacentral:piRNA from 1 species